GGCAUGCUUUCACAUGCAAGUCGGACGGCAGCACAGAGAAGCUUGCUUCUUGGGUGGCGAGUGGCGAACGGGUGAGUAACAUAUCGGAACGUACCGAGUAGUGGGGGAUAACUAAUCGAAAGAUUAGCUAAUACCGCAUACGUCUUGAGAGAGAAAGCAGGGGAUCUUCGGACCUUGCGCUAUUCGAGCGGCCGAUAUCUGAUUAGCUAGUUGGUGGGGUAAAGGCCUACCAAGGCGACGAUCAGUAGCGGGUCUGAGAGGAUGAUCCGCCACACUGGGACUGAGACACGGCCCAGACUCCUACGGGAGGCAGCAGUGGGGAAUUUUGGACAAUGGGCGCGAGCCUGAUCCAGCCAUGCCGCGUGUCUGAAGAAGGCCUUCGGGUUGUAAAGGACUUUUGUCAGGGAAGAAAAGGUUGGUGCUAAUAUCGCUGACUGAUGACGGUACCUGAAGAAUAAGCACCGGCUAACUACGUGCCAGCAGCCGCGGUAAU
rnacentral:rRNA from 1 species